GGAGGGUUGGCAGAGUGGUAAUGCACCGGCUUGCUAAGCCGUGACGGCGAAAGCCGCUCACAGGUUCGAAUCCUGUACCCUCCG
rnacentral:tRNA from 1 species